rnacentral:rRNA from 1 species
AUUGAACGCUGGCGGCAGGCUUAACACAUGCAAGUCGAGCGGGGUGAUGGUGCUUGCACUAUCACUUAGCGGCGGACGGGUGAGUAAUGCUUAGGAAUCUGCCUAUUAGUGGGGGACAACAUCUCGAAAGGGAUGCUAAUACCGCAUACGUCCUACGGGAGAAAGCAGGGGAUCACUUGUGACCUUGCGCUAAUAGAUGAGCCUAAGUCGGAUUAGCUAGUUGGUGGGGUAAAGGCCUACCAAGGCGACGAUCUGUAGCGGGUCUGAGAGGAUGGUCCGCAACACUGGGACUGAGACACGGCCCAGACUCCUACGUGAGGCAGCAGUGGGGAAUAUCGGACAAUGGGGGGAACCCUGAUCCAGCCAUGCCGCGUGUGUGAAGAAGGCCUUAUGGUUGUAAAGCACUUUAAGCGAGGAGGAGGCUCUUUUGGUUAAUACCCAAGAUGAGUGGACGUUACUCGCAGAAUAAGCACCGGCUAACUCUGUGCCAGCCGCCGCCGUAA